rnacentral:rRNA from 1 species
UACGUAGGGUGCGAGCGUUAAUCGGAAUUACUGGGCGUAAAGCGUGCGCAGGCGGCUUUACAAGACAGAUGUGAAAUCCCCGGGCUCAACCUGGGAACUGCAUUUGUGACUGUAUAGCUAGAGUACGGCAGAGGGGGAUGGAAUUCCGCGUGUAGCAGUGAAAUGCGUAGAUAUGCGGAGGAACACCGAUGGCGAAGGCAAUCCCCUGGGCCUGUACUGACGCUCAUGCACGAAAGCGUGGGGAGCAAACAGG